rnacentral:tRNA from 1 species
AAGGAUUUAAGUUAAAAAAACUCACAACCUUCAAAGUUGUAAAUAAAGAAGAGCUUUAAGCCUUA